UGAAAUGAAAUAUUAUUUUUAUUUUAUUAUCAUAAUAAUAAUUACAUUAAUGGAUAGAAUAAAAAUAGAUUUAAAAACAAAAUACAGAAUAAACACAGAAAUAAACAUAUAAAAGAAUUAGAUAUUCGAAAAAUUUUUCAUUUCAAAUUUUUCAAUUAAAGAAUAAAUAUACAUCAAAAUUAAUCUUUCAUUCACUUUAUGAUAUGAUAAAUAUAAAUGUUAAAAUAUAAUCCCAAUUGCUAGAUGGACAGAAUUUCAUGAAAAUAAUAUUGUAUUGAAUUUAAUAAUGUACAAUUGCAAUUAAUAAUGUUAUAUUUCAUGAAAAUAAUAUUAUAUUAUAUUACAUGUAUUGUUUAAUAAAGAAAAAUAAAUUUCAAUUAAAUAUUUUAAAUUUAAAUUGAAAAAUUUAUAGGUAUAUAAUCAAAAUACUUUCAUUAAUCAAGUAAUUGUUUUAAAUAUUAUUUUGAUUAAUAUAAUGAUAAAUUUUAAAUAUAAUUCAAAUUAUAUUAAUAAAUUUUUCUAUUAUUUUAAUUUCUAACAGUUAUUCUUUUAAUUUUUAUUGUUUAAUUUGUAUCUAACAUAAUCGAGGAAAUAACUUUUUAUGCAAAUAUUUUUAUCUUUUAUGUCAAACACUACUAUCUGAGACAACUUAAUAUAUAAAGAGUUUUAUUAUAUAUUUCUUAUCUCAAAUUUUCUAUUACUAUUUAAAAUAAUCAAACAUUAAAUAUCAUUUGAAAAUAAUCUAUUUCUCAACAAUUUUAGUUUUAAAAUCUGUUUACAAACAUAAACAUCUAAAAUAAAUCUAAUAAUUUAAUUCCAUUUAUUAUUUUCAUUUCAAACGAAAACUGUCUUAAUUUAAAAAUUCUCUAAAUUAUAAUUUUCAUUACAAACAUGGAACGAUAGGAAUUUUCUAAUUGGAUAUUAUAAAUUAAUUGAUUUGCAAACAACUCUUCGUUAGUCAGUUCGGUGGUUGAAGAAGCGGAGGGAGAGUGAUAAUUCUCGCAAUAGCCGCAAUCGAUCGAAACCGAUUUGGUUGCGGACACGCGACUAGAAUAUCUUCGCUUCGUGAUUCGAGUGUCCUGCAUAAUUGAGUGCAUUCCUCGGCCACGCGGAUUCCGUUUUGCGUCGACACGGAUUCCGUGUCUGGCCGAUAAUCGUGCGAACAUCACGCACUUCCACCAUGUGUGACAAAAACGCAUUCCUCCAAUUGAUAGAUCAUCAUGCUUGGGACUUAUCGAAAAUUCUUAUUGAAUAAAAAAAAAUUUAUUUCUUCUUUGCUAGACUAUUUUAUUUUAAAUGAUAUCAUUCAAAUAUUUCUUGUAAUUUUAUCUAUAAAAUGAAAUUAUUAAUUUAUAAUUAUUUGAAAUAAUUAUUCAAAUAAAUUAUUUGGAAUAAUAUUUCAAAUACAUAUAAUUUUAAAUAUGCCAGAUUUUAUAUUUUCUUUUUUGUGAAUAAAACAUAAAAGUUAUCGCAUUUCCUGGCAAAUUAUUAUCUAUCUUUUCACAAGUUUCAUUAUUAUCUAUUAUCACAAGUUCGUUACCUUCAUGUAUUAAUUGAUAAUUUGAUCAAAUUGCAAUAAUUAAUAUUAUCUAUUUACAUUAUUUUCUCCAUAUCCAAGUGUCAAAAUUACAAACAUUUACAUCAAAAUUAUAAAUUAACAUUUUAAUUGAUAUCUAAAUUUAACCUUUUAAUUUUAAUUAAUUAAUUAUUCGCAAUCAAUGUAAAAUGCAAACAAUGUCAAAAAAAUAACCAUUCUUGAAAACAAAUUAUUUUAUAUCCAUUUCAUAUUGUCAUGUUAUUAUUUGCAUAAGGAAAUACUAAAUAAUCGUUCACGCUGACCGAUGAUUGACUGAUUCAAAAAGUCUUUUAAUUAUCUAUUGAUAUCAAUUGACAAUUAUUUCUAAUCGCAAAAUGAAACAAACAAAUUUUGCCUAUUUUCUAAAUCGUCUUAGACAUAGAUAUCAUCAUUCAGAUAUAAUCUCAACAGAAAAUUCUUGAUACAAUAUAUAAUUUAUAGAUUGUACAAAAUUGUCACUUUGGAUAUUAUAUUUUUAUUUUGGAAUAUUUUAAAUAUUAUAAUUCUGAUAAUAAUGAUUUAUCAUAAUAUCUUAUUUAAAAAGGUUAUAUAAAUAAAAGUUUGAAGUUUGUAAAUCAUUUAUUUAAUUGUCAGAUUAUCAAAAUUAAAAAGCACGUUGACUGAAUCAAAAAUAGUAGUAACACACAUAGUAGUUUCAAAUUUACUUAAUUUUUAUUAUCAUUAUUUCAUUCAUUGAUUUAUUAGAUUAAUUAAAAAACAUUUCAUAAAUAAUAUUCCAAAGGAUAAAAAUAUAUCAUAUUGUAAAUACAAAUUCAGAUUUUAAAAAGAUAAGCAAUUUAAUAUUGCAUAAUAUAAUUUUAAAAAUAAAAUUAAAAUGUAAAAAAUAUUCGUAAUAUGAUUAAUUACGAUUAAAAUGUUAUUAAAAUUAAAAUUUUAAAAAAGAAAUAUAAAUCUUUUGAAAAUAUUUAUUAUCAAAUAUAAAAGAAAAAUAUUUAUAAUUAUAUGAAAUAUAUAUAUGUGAAAGAAAACUUAUAAAACAGUAGAAAUAAAUACAUAAUAUUCAUAUUGUUGUUAAUUUCUUAAAUUUCAAUAUUUUUUUGUAAUUUAAAUAUGAUAAUUUGAAAUAUAUAUUAUGAAAAAAAAUAUUUUCUACUGUUUUACAUUACAUUUUUCAAUAUUUUUCUUCUAAUUAUUAUUUAAUAGAUUUUUUUUCAAAUUUUAUAAAAUAUAAUAGUAAGAAAUAAUAGUAAAAAAAUAUAUUUUUUACAAAUAAUGUUCAAGAUUAAACGUAAGAUUUUAAUCGUAAUUAAUCAUUAUGAUAUAUUUUUUACAACUAUACAUGUACGAAGUACUUAUUGUUAGAGUAGUUUAAUGAUUCAACUCAGAUAGGAGGUUAUCUCACAAAACGUUAAGUAUCUUUGUCUGAUCGGAAGUAUUUCAUUAUCGUGUUUCUCGUGUCCGAACGGAUUAAAUAUCGUUAAUCAAUUCGAUAAAGAAAAUUGAAAGAUAAAUUUGUUCAAAAUUCAUACGAUUUUUCAUAUUCCCAAGAAACUCUUUGUCCCUAUACUCAUACUUAUUUUCGUAAGAUUUCGGUUGCGUAGAUAACAGAUUUGGACUGGUACUUACAUACAUCAACAAUAUGGGCGAACAGGUUGAGACAAAGAGUCACGAUAGAGUGAUGAAGCGGGAGAGAUGGAAGAGUGUAGAAGGUGAGAAGUGGGGGAAGCAACUAGAGACUAGAAUCGAGUAUUAAUAGACUCGGGUGGCUGGAAGCCGGAACUGAAGAGCGCACCUCCUUCUAGUCGAGUCGCCCGUUCGAGUUGUUCGAGCUGUGAAAGACAGAAAACUGGACGAAGAGAGAUAGAGAAUAGAGCGAAAUAGCAAUAGACAGUAAAAGAAAGAGAGAGAGAGACAGAAAGAAAUAAAUGGACAAAAAGAAGGACAAGUAGAAAGAGCAAGUAAGAAAGAAGGUGCGCGCGCAUGAGAAAGAGAAAGAGAUGUUGGCUUAUUUAUAAACGCAAGAUAAAGCAUGGCAGUGCCGUGAGAGGAAGCCGUUCGAGCAUGGCUCCCACGCUUCUAGAUACGCAUUACGUAUGCGCCUUAGCCUUUCGAUUCUUACAUCGCAUAACCGCCCAAAUGGACAACCAUGGAACCAUCGUUAUCCACUAAUGUAUACUGUUUUAUCAUAGGUGUCUCGAGCACGUGGCUAUGUAGGCGCGUACCGAUAUAUCAGUGCGAUACACUGCAUAUGUAUAUCGAGACUGGAAAAGCUCGAUGACCUAAUGCAAACAAAAUAACUCGUGAGUCGAUCGGAACAUUAAUAUUAAGAUCUCUAUUGCAUGGAGAAACGAAACUCUUCGAAUUAGAUUCAUCAGAAUGGCCACCUCCUCUCAUCGAGCAGUUCCUCUACUCUGGGUAAUUAGAUAACAGCAGGAAACCGCUACGAGUUGCAUAAUAUCGAUGUUGCGCAAUCGAUACCUUCACCUUAUGUGCGGCUUACGUCGUCUCACCAAGUGAAAAUCACCGAGAGAGUGUGCUCGCGACGAUAGAAGAGAGGGGGGAAGGAGGAGAAUGAGAAAAUAUAAUGUUAAUAAAAAAUCGAACAGGUUUGCGCAUAUUUUACGCAAUUAGUCUCCAAAAAUGGUUUAAAAUAUAAGAAAUAUAAGAAAUAUAAAAUAUUUCUAACAUAAAAUUUAUGUAUCAACUCAAAGAGAUUAAAGAUAAAUUAAAAUAAUACAAAAAUGUUAUUGGUUUUAUUUUCUUUUUUUAUCUUUUUUCAACGUUAUGUUAUUUAAAUUAAAAAGGAAAGAGAAAUUAAAAUUGAAAGAAAAAAUUGAAAGAAGAAUUGAAACGAGAAAAGGAGAAGGAUGAAAAAAAGGGAAGGGGAAGGAAAAGAUUGAAAAAGGUAAGCAGGUAGGCAGUAGAGUGUUGCAGCAUGCUCGAGCGAGCGUGAUAGGUGAUGUCAUGGUGGGUAAACUGCUCCAGGACACGCUAGGACCCUCUCCACUCAAGAAAUCUAUCGCAAUUGGGCCGAACGAUAUAAGUAUCGAUAGGGAUCCCUUCAGAAGAGAGCCGUAUUCAUCGAAGAACUGAAGAAAAAAGCCAAAGGAAUCUUGAGAUAUAUAUUCCAAGUCGUGGAUGUUCCAACUGACAUACACCACUGAAAGCGUCGAGUAAUCGAUAAUAAGUUAAUGGGCAGUUUGCUCCGCUCGCUUGGUCGGUUGCUCACGAGCGAGGUAUUCGAUCGAGUCGAUGACAACUUCCGGCGGUAGUAACGAGCAGUCGACACGCGAUUGCGACUGCAAUGUUCUGCGAGGUUUGGCCUCUAUUGAAUCACAGGAUACGUUCUUAACUUAACUUUAAAAAUCUAAAAUUAUUCCUUAAGAAUUUCGUACAAAAGUUUCCUCUUGUCUUUUUUUAAACGAUGAUAUUUACGAUCAAUUUAUUUCCUUUCCUUUUACUUUUUAAUGUGUUUUAUUCUUUUUUUCGAUCGUAUGACGUUUAAUCUUGAAUUUUUUUUUGAAGAAUUUUGCGUCGCUCCACAUUACCGAAAGCGGAAAGUCGACAGCGCACUGAAUACCGUUCGAUAAAACGGCGAAGAAAGAGGAAGAAGAAGAAGAAGGAGAAGAACAAGAAGAAGAAAACGAUGAAGAGAGAGCAGGACGUGCCGUUAUCGUUCUUACCUUCACAUAACCGUACCUCCAACAGAGGGCGUGAUCCCAGAUCACCUCUUGUCCUAAGGAAGGUCAGAUCACCAUCCGCUACUCUUCUGUUUUCUUCGCUCCUCUUUUAUGUUAAACGAUUUCGAAGAAAAUUUCUGAGAUGUUCAUUCUAUUUCAUAUGACUUUUUAUUUUGUUUUUUCAAACAGUCUUUUCUUUUCAAUGAAUGUCCCAAUAUUUCAAAUUUUUUUAAAAAGUGCAAUUUUUUUUAAAUAAAAUAUGUGUACAAGUGACUUUAAAUUAUGUAACUUAAUUUAAAAUAUAUUAUAUAUUAUAUGCAUAUAUAA